rnacentral:rRNA from 1 species
UGGUCUGCGGCUUAUCAGCUUGUUGUGGGGUAAUGGCCUACCAAGGCAAUGACGGGUAGGGGACAUGAGAGUGUGUUCCCCAACAAUGGGACUGCGACACGGCCCAUACUCCUACGGGAGGCAGCAGUCGAGAAUAUUUCGCAAYGGGCGAAAGCCUGACGAAGCGACACCGCGUGUUUGAAUAAGCCCUUAGGGGUGUAAAGAACUUUUCUCCAUGAACAAGCUUCGSCUGAGUGUACUGGAGGAAUAAGAGGAGGCUAAUCACGUGCCAGAAGCCUCGGUAAUACGUGAUCCUCAAGUGUUAUCCGGAUUUAUUGGGCGUAAAGCGUCUGUAGGCGGUUAAAUAAGUCUUUGGUUAAAGCCCCAUGGCUCAACUAUGGGAAUGCCAGAGAUACUGUUUGACUAGAGGUGUUAGGGGCCUGAUAGAACGGUCGGUGUAGGGGUGAAAUCCGUUGAUAUCGACCGGAAUACCAAAAGCGAAGGCAUUCAGCUAAGGCAAUCCUGACGCUGAGAGACGAAAGCGUGGGUAGCGAAGGAGAUUAGAUACCUCUGUAGUCCACGCCGUAAACGAUGAACACUGGCUAUUUGAAGUGUCGACCCUUCAAGUGGCGAAGCUAACGCGUUAAGUGUUCCGCCUGGGAAGUACGGCCGCAAGGCAUAAACUCAAAGGAAUUGACGGG